rfam:Gossypium raimondii Chr03_contig_967, whole genome shotgun sequence.
UAUUAAAAAUUCCAUCCAUUUGUAUUAUUGAAAACUAGUAUGGUUGAUGAAAUAACCAAACAGUGACAUGUGAUGUGUCACGUGUACCUCAUGUUGAUGUAUAGGGAUCAAUUUUUAAUAGUAGAAAUGGAUGAAAUUUUUAAUA